ACUGCAUGCUAGGUAUGAAGCCUAAGAAAAUAGAGACUCUGCCAUGUGAAAAGAUUUGGGCUGGGGUAAGACUGGAGUUAAUGACUGAACAGACACCAAGGGCCCUUCAAAACACAUGAUGUUCCUGCUCACAGCAUAAAGCCCAGUUCCCUUUGGCCUCUGCAGGUUGGCUCAUCACCAGGGAACCUGUGCCUCCUCUGAGACUAAAGCACCACUCCAGUAACAGGUCCAAGGACUGAGCCAACGUACUAGUGGACUAAUUUUUGGGAGGCUCUGGAAAGCUCAUUGAACACUUUCCUCACAAAUCUACCAGGUAAGUCUUUUUAUCCACAUUUCCUGAGAAGAAAUCUGAGGCCCAAAGAAAGACUUUCUCAAUACCAUAAUUGGCUAGUUGGUGCCCAAAGCAGCAUUAGCAUCCAAGAUUGCCUGACUGUUUUCACUCUACCAUACUCUUGACAGUGAUUUUUGUUUUGGCUAAAAGAGCCACAUUUCUGGAUGGCUUGGGAUGGAUUGGGUAGGUAGAGAGAAAAAUGAAGGAGUGAGAAAUACAUUUUAAAUUUUGAGGUUUGAAGUCACUCCAAGAUCGUAAAUUAGAGGGGCAUAUCACCCCCUUACCAACAUACAUUCAAUUAAGAGUUAAGAUAAUAAAAUAAAAAAAAAACUUACUUUUUUCUCCCUGAAAGACAAGUCAAAUUUCUAGCUCAAAAUUAAAAAAAAAAGAAAAAAAAAAAAUAAAAAAAAAAAAAGACAAGUCAUCUGCCUUGGCCUCAUGGGGCAGUUUUCUACUGUGCCAUUUUUCAUGUCAAUAUUCAUUAUAGGCCAACUACUUUCUAACAGAUAAACUGCCACUUCUGGGAAGGGGGUGAAUUUGACACAAACAUCUUGGAAUGUUUAACAACAGGAUUUAGGUGUUGCCAAGGGAAUUCUUUCAGAAAUUCCAGGCCUGACAAUGAUCCUGUUAGCUUCCUUGUUCCCCAGACGGCUGUGGGUUGAAAGAUUCCAAUGUCUCACUGCCAAGACUGCUGCCUGUCUUUUGGCUUCCUUGAUGAUGUGUCUCACUUUUCCCAGAGAGAUAAGUACAGCAAAAAGGUAAGAGAAGUGAUGAGAAACGUUGGAAGGCACAAUGGGUUAAUAUAUGACACAACUCCAAACUGUGAGCAACUUAUAUGACCUUUAGCAACUUUAUUCCUCAACAUGAGCCUUCAUUUCCUCAUUUAUAACAUGAGUAGGUGAGACUAGAUGCUAUUUCUUUUAUAGCUGCCAUUCUUGAGUCCCGAUGGCACAAGGACACAUUGUUAGGCCUACAUCUCCCAAGAAGAUCUCAUCUCCCCACUGAAGCACCUGGCUCAGCAUCCUGCAGUGCCACGCUCCGUGUAUUUGACAAGCUGAGUUGGACACUCCAUGUGGUAGAGUGUCAGUUUGUCAAAUACCCCAAGUGCGGCAUGUGCCUAGCAGCUCCAAGCCAGGGCAGUUGGGGUACAACAAAUAGAUGAUCAGCAGGAUAAAAUAACACACAACAAAUACCAACUAAACUCUCACAGGUUAUUUUAAGGUAACUUUGAGAGAAUGUAAGCAUUGUAUCUGAGGUUCCCAGUGGAAAAGUCAGACAGCUUUGAAAGCCACAGCCCUGGGUGGUACCUACAUAUAUUGUGAGAGCCUGAGGGGGGCAAGGUAGCCUUGUAAAGGUAUCCAGGGCCCAGGGAUGAAAAUGCUACUUGAUUCAUUAUUUUUUUCCUUCACAUUCCCCAUUCCAGAGUAUCCCAGCAAGGAUACCAGAAAUCUCACACAACCAUCAUGGCAGGGCUUAGAAGCCCAUUUUUCUGACACUCAGUCUUAGCUCUAAAUGCACUUUGACCUUACCUAUCUCUCUCCUUUUCCUCAUACUUUUUCUCCUUCUGAGAACACCAUCCCCAUUUAUUUCUGCCUAUCUGAUUUCUUCCCAUAUUUCCUUGUCCAGGCAAAAUCAAGUUUCUUCAGGGACUUUUGAAAAAUAAACUUAUACUUUUUUCCUUCAUUCUCAAAUCACUUCUUGCCUGGGUCCUUCUAUGUACACCUUUAUCUCCUACUGCCCAAUAACACUGCUUAAAUUGUUAAUUAUCUUUUUCAGAAUAUAUUUUGAAUCCUCUACUUUAUUUAUGACAAGACCAUGUUUCCUUGAUUGCUGUCUCUCCAUUCCAUUCCUACCCCACAGGACUCUGGUUACAGAAAAUAUUCAAUAAAGUUUUACUGAUUGAUUGACUUUCCACUAGUUCAUUAGCUUUUGGUCUUUGGGACACAUGCCACCUAGGCAUUUUGUGAAUAAAAAAAUUCAAGUGUGCUCACCACAAUGCUGUAGGGCAUGCAAGGUAUAGCCAACAUGAAUGGGAUUUCUUCCUGAUAAAUUGGGUGAUGGGCUACAGGAAGAGAUUUUUAAAAAGUAGGUUGAGAGGGCAAAUAUGUUUUGGGAAUUACUUGGUAACACAAAGUUAUACAGGUAAUUUAUUUCAGGAUAUUAUAGAGCCUUUAAUAUUCUAAUAUUGCACUGGAAAUUUCCAAGAGGGAGCUAUAGAAUGAAGCAUUUCCCAUACCUAUCUGAUUGUGAUUUUUUUUCCUGUGGACCAUCUCCUGGGUCUACUAUUCCAUGGAACAAAACUUGGGAAGCUGCCCUAGAGGAAAUUCAUACUUUCCCUCUCUUCUGGAGGUCUCCUUUUUUAACUCAUCUGCUUUCCCCUGACCAGCCACCUACCUAAGAUAGAUCCUAUGUUAUCAUUACAUUUUUGUUUAGCCUUAUCUUGCAGCUUUGGGGUAGCCCUAUACCAAGGACUCUUUUACUGGCUUGUCAUGUGUGGAGGGAAAAUGUUCAGUUUGGGAACACAGAUGAACUCCAGAAGUUUCUCUGCUGCAAUGAAUAUAUUCUCCUAGCAGUUCACAGACAUGAAUCUGGUCUCUGUUCUACCAUUGAUUUGAUGUGUUUGACUUCAGAUAAGUCACUCUUUCUUUUUGGACUUCACUUCCUUAUCUGUAUUAUGGGAAAUUUAGAAUCAACAAUCUCUAAGCUCUCCAAGACAAGAGACUCUGAGUUAUACUUAGGGGUCCAAGGAGGGGGUAGUGCCUGGAUCUGGGGCUCCUUGUAUCAAGACACAUGAAACAAGGAUUCUCUUCUCAACCUCAGUAAUUCCUUUCUCUAAAGAUAAUAGGAAUAAAUGAUGGCUGUUUUCAAAGGCUGUGUGGGGUCUGGAAACAAAGAUGUUUAAUUAAGGAAGCUGAGGUUUCCACUGUGGGAGGCUGUUUCAGAGGAUUGUAAGCAUGAUGGGGAAGAAAAUGUUGCUCCUUUCAUGAGCAUCUGGAGAUGAGGAAAACGCUGAGUUUUUUACCAUGGACUUGGCAGGUUAGUGGUGGUGAAGUGGAGGACUUCUUGUUCACUUUUGUGUACUAUUUUGACUUCUAUAUUCAUCCCAAAGGAGAAGAACUCCUGUUGAAACCUGAGCUGAUGUUGAGGUUGUGUUGGAAAUAAAAGUGGCAACAUGUCAGGUUCCAUGAAGAAUGGAUAAGUUGACUUAACAUGAAUUACAUGAGGGAGGGAAAGCAGUGUUGACUUGUCCUAGACAGGUCCUCAUAGAGGAAACUAAUUUUUAAAAAAUUUAACUUUAUUGUUGAAAGUUUUACAGAUGUCCCCUCUUUUCCCCCUUUUGGACCCUUCCACCCCACUCCAGCCCCUCCCAGGCCUUCACCCCACUAUUGUCUGUGUCCAUUGGUUAUGCAUAUAUGCAUAUAAGUU